UACGUAGGGUGCGAGCGUUAAUCGGAAUUACUGGGCGUAAAGCGUGCGCAGGCGGCGCGUUAAGACAGGUGUGAAAGCCCCGAGCUUAACUUGGGAAUUGCGCUUGUGACUGGCGUGCUGGAGUGUGGCAGAGGGAGGUGGAAUUCCACGUGUAGCAGUGAAAUGCGUAGAUAUCAAGUGGAACACCAGUGGCGAAGGCGAGUCUCUGGACAUUUCCUGACGCUGAGGCACGAAAGCCAGGGGAGCAAACGGG
rnacentral:rRNA from 1 species